rnacentral:misc_RNA from 1 species
GCGGCUCCUUAACAGGGCCAAAAGGCGUCAAUGGGUUGCGUAUAAGAGAAUGGACCUGCUGUGAGUGCGGUGUCGCUCACGACCGCGAUAUCAAUGCGGCCAGAAACAUUCUCGCGCUCGGGCAUGAGCGUCCAUCUGUGGGAAUCCCCGUCCUUUAGGGCGGGGAGGAUGUCAAAUAAGGCU